UCGAAGAGGCGCGACUAACAAAAGUAGCGAUUUAGAGCCAGGAUCAGGCGUUGACUAAUCGUGAAAGGGGCGGUCGCCGAGGUGACAAGCAUGAUCACUGCUUGUUUAACCGGGUCGUGAUUUAAGAGAUCACGGACUGUCGUAAACUACAAAUGUUUACGGUGCGCUAUCG
rnacentral:ncRNA from 1 species